ensembl:lncRNA
GUCAGGCAGCCGGCGGGCGGUGGAGGUGGGGGCCGCCGCAAACUGCUGCCGGAGCCCCCGGGCAGGGCAGCAGGAGGCACCCCGUGCUGCGGGCAGGCUGCCCAGCCAUGGGGCUCUAUAGGAGCCCUGCUCCACAAGUCUCCUCUGGAGCGGUUCCUAGUCCAUAAGAGCAUUGCUGCUGCCCGACAGCAGGGCCUCGCGGGGAACGUGUGUGUCUGGUGGUGGGGCUGGGGAACAGAGCUCCUUAGAAUGCUUCUGAGUAUCGCACAGAAAGGCCUGCGUUACGGUUGGAAAUGCGAUAUUCUUCCGGUUUGCUUCCACUCUUGUUUUGUGUCACUGAGGUACCUGGGUCUGUUCAGCCUGGGGAAAAGAAGCCUGAGGAGGGAACUGAUGAAUGUAUAUAAAUAUCUAAAGGGAGAUGGGAGGCAAAUGGAUGAGGGCAGGCUCUUCUCAGGGGUGCAUAGCGAGAGGACAAGGAGCAGCGGUCUCAAACUUGAACGUAGGUGUAGCAGAAAUGCUAUGUCAGAGCUUGGAACAGUGAUUGAGCACCGGGCGGGAAGGCAGGGCCAACCCAGGAGAGCUCAGGUGCAUGCAACGUACCUGAGUGACUGGAAGGGCUGGAGCCAAGAUGCAACCCUUCCCAGACCUCAUGUAAGGGUUGGCAGUGGAGGCAAGGAUACCUCAUCUGGAGAUCCCUGCACACCUGAGGCCUUCUGAAGAGUUUGAUGUUCUGAAUUUAAUCCCCGUUGGACUGCAGCCUGCGUUACAAAACCUUCACACAUAAUUUGGCAUAGUCGGGACAAUUUGCCAUCGUCCGUUGCUCUCUGCAGAGGAUACCCUGAGCAGACCCUGGUGGAGGCUCACUGACCUUUCCUCCCUCAGGAUGGUGGUCUCCAAGGUCACUGUUCAGGUCAUUCUGCAGCAAGCAUGGCCUGCUGUGAAAGACAGAGAGCCUGCGUGAGCAGGCCUGGCAUCAUCUGCAAGGAUAGCGCCCAUGUCGAAACCAGGUAGAACUCUCUGGAGUUUUCCUGAAUCUACUCCUAGAUCACCUGGGGUAUUCUUCUCCUGCUUAGGAGCCUCUCUGAUUCACUAUCUGGCUAUUACACAGAGCUCAAGGAUUGAAGCCUUCAGUACGAUCCCAGGAUAAUAUAAGAUCCACACAGAAUCAUUUAUCUGAAGUGACGUGUCUGAUGCACUGGUGGAAGUUUUCCUAAGAGAUUUCUAAAUGUCCUGGUGGCUGACGGUAAAGACACCAAGGACUCAGAGUCAUGGGUUUCUCUUUAUUACAAGCCCUAAAACACCCAGCAGAAAGACAAAGCUGAGUGAAUUAAUGUUUUCUGACAACUAAGAUACUGUAUUGUCCCACCAAAGUCCUUUCAAAGACCCCUUUAAGAACAGAGUAGUUUGGGGGCUGAAAGGAUCCUAGUUCUGAAACUGGUCUUUAUCUUCUGUUGCUAUCGAAAUGUUUUGUGCUUUAAAUAUGCACUUGCUAUUUCUUAGUUUUAGACUCUCCUAAUACCAAAUUAGCCUUCUGAGCAGAGGUCAGCAGUGCAGGAGUGCAGGUCUUACUGGUUCAGAGGAACACAAAAUCACACAGGCUAAUGCUGAAGUCUUUGUCAACAGCUUCCUGAAUAUCUAGAGACUGAUCAGACAUGAGCUGUCUAUACAGCCAGAUAAUGCUGUUAUUAGAGACACAUUAGUGUGAGGGUUUUUUUUUUUUUUUUUUUUUAAUAUACAUGGCUAAUAGAUACAUUAAUCUCAUAGCUUUCACUGCAAAAGUCUUGGACCAGUGCUUCUGAUUAAUUAUUAAUACUCGUCUUCCUCUUCUAUUUUUCAGUGUAUUUACUUCUUAGCCUCGACUCUCUGUGGUUUUUGGGGGGGGUUUGUUUUUUUGGCUGUUUUUUUCUUUUCCUCCAGAUGAUUACAUAUAGCAAAGCUUGGAUAACUACAUGAGCAUUCACUGCAUUCUUACUUGCCAAUGUCCUUAAUAAUGAUGAAAUGAUAACUAAACAACAACCAAUAUUUUGGAUUUGGGGAGCUGCAGAUACCUGGAGAAAGCACUUUGCGUUAACAGUUGAUGCACUGUUGGUAUAUUGACAAAAAU